rnacentral:rRNA from 1 species
AGAGUUUGAUCCUGGCUCAGGACGAACGCUGGCGGCGUGCCUAACACAUGCAAGUCGAGCGAUGAAGCUCCUUCGGGAGUGGAUUAGCGGCGGACGGGUGAGUAACACGUGGGCAACCUGCCUCAAAGUGGGGAAUAGCCCUCCGAAAGGAGGAUUAAUACCGCAUAACAUGAAGGAAUCGCAUGGUACCUUCAUUAAAGAUUUAUCGCUUUGAGAUGGGCCCGCGGCGCAUUAGCUAGUUGGUGAGGUAACGGCUCACCAAGGCGACGAUGCGUAGCCGACCUGAGAGGGUGAUCGGCCACAUUGGAACUGAGACACGGUCCAGACUCCUACGGGAGGCAGCAGUGGGGAAUAUUGCGCAAUGGGGGAAACCCUGACGCAGCGACGCCGCGUGAAGGAUGAAGGUUUUCGGAUCGUAAACUUCUUUGACCGGGGACGAAGAAAUGACGGUACCCGGGGAACAAGCCACGGCUAACUACGUGCCAGCAGCCGCGGUAA